rnacentral:snRNA from 1 species
GUGCUCGCUUCAGCAGCACAUACACUAAAAUUGGAACAAUAGAGAAGAUUAGUAUAAUCCCU